rnacentral:lncRNA from 1 species
UAGUUUCUCCCAAACUAAUGGAGUCCCCCUCCAUGCUGAGCUGCCAGGAGCUGGAGGAGAGAUGGCACAAGCAACCAUGUAGCCACCACCACUGGGACUGCACUGGAUCAGACCUGAAGACAACAUGUCACUUGCCCAAGGCCUACAGCAACCACUGCUUGGUAACCACCAAUGUUCCCUCAAGGCCCAGGGGCUCUACAAUCAGCAGCUGAAGAAACCCCUUUCCCUGUGGCCAGCACCACCCCAGGCUGGUGGUGAGCACUGCCUGGCUACUGCACACAGUAGCCUAAGGGCUCUUCAGUCAGCUUGUGAUGAAUGCUGCCAGACCUAAGAAUCUCCUUUCAGGAUAAUGGAUUCCCUCUGGCUUAAGGCACAGCCAUAAAACAUCCUGAGUCAUAUUAGGACAGUCCCCAUUGACUCCUUGAUGAUGGAAACAUACAGUGAAACGAGUCAGGAUUCUGAGUUUCCUGCUUGGAAGAGAGCCACCAAGGAGAGCCACUGACCAGGAACCUCCUCAUGAGACUCUGCAUGAGCAAAAAAUAAAUCUUUGUGGUAUUAAAGCUCUACAACAACUAGGUGAAAUUCAAGAGUGGACAGAAUAGAACCAUGGAGUAUUCAGUGCCAGGGAAAUGGCCAUCAGGAGCCAAGGAACAAGAAACUACUUCUGGAAAGAAGAGGCACACAGGUACGAUAUGAAAGGCAGCCCAGAAAAUG